UGUCCACCGAUAUUCCGAAAAAGUGUCUGCCCUAUCAACCUGGUGGUAGUCUGUUAGUCCAUUAUAGUUAUUGCGGGUAACGAAGAAUAAAGGUUCGACUCCGGAGAGGGAGCCUUAGAAACGGCUAUCAUAUCUAAGGAAGGCAGCAAGCGCUCAACAUAUCCACUUUUGAAGAGAUGAGUUAGUGCCUAACUUUAAAGACCAUUUCUCUGGUUCUAAAGUCAUUUGAAGGAUUUUUAGACGAUACUAAACAGAGCGCUAAACUAAGCUCAUGUG
rnacentral:ncRNA from 1 species